UGAGAGUGGCGGUGACGAAAUGAGCAUGUGACGGAAACAAAUCCAGGUAAGGUUCUAGAAUCUUGCUGAGCUGUAGAAGUUGUUAUCGGAAAAAUAGAAUGCACAGUGGAGGCGUGGGAAGAUAUAUACUCACACGACUGAAGAAAGAAGAGAGAGAAUGAAUCAGAAAAAAAAUCGUCGGGGAAGAAGGGUUUCUUGAAGAAGAGAGCGUUCGGUUCCUCUACUAGCGUAGAGGAGAAAAUCUCUUCCCCUUCUUCCAUCGUCUGUUCACCGUUGCCGGAGAACAAUCCCUAUGAAUCACCAUUUCGAUACACGAUACGCCGUGGUUCGUUACUUCGGAAGUGCGAGUCGGUGUUGUUCGUCACUGUUUAGCCGCACCAGAGGACUCCUGUUCGAAGAUGAUCGUGAAGACGCUGCUUCCAAACCAGGUAGGAAUUCUAUCACAAAUAUGUCCUGUUUUGGCCGAGAAAAGAGGCUUGACUCAAUUGUUGAGUUUGUGCGAAAAUCUGAUAGAAUAAGGCAUAUCUGUUGUAGAAUAACAUGAUUUAGGCACUUACACAUCAUUUCUUGAUUGAGAAUCAUAUCGGAAUCAAAUCGGAAUCUCAUUUUUUGAGUCGCAUGCUACUUGUUUGACGAUUUGCUUGAGAGAAUAUUAAAACUGAUUUGAGAACGAUUGUGUCAAAGCUUUUAGGUGUAAAUCUGAUUCAUAUUUGCACCGUUAAUCGUUGAACUAAAGCUAAUGCCGAAUUUUUUUUUAAUGAUACGUGCACAUCAUGAAUUGGCCAUGAACGAAACCUUCGCCGGAGAUCCAUUUUACAUGCCGAAGGUGCCUACGGUUAAAGUCCGUCCGUGUUAGCUUCCUCUUUUCCCUUUCUCUACCAUGUAUGUGUACAUUUAUUGCUAUUGCUUGUGGAUUAUUAGUUGAUGAAUGAAAAUGGCCAUCGGAAAAAGUUUUGGAUAGUCGGAACAGUGAUCGGAACAAGCAGUCGGCGAUCUAAUAAUGGCUGGGAUUGGUGGUGGGCGAAGGCGAGUUAAUGGUAGGUUGCUUGAGUAAAUAGCCGGUAAACGUUGAUGACCGGAGGAAUAGUUGCUCCGGUGAAGCUCAAAGUUGGAAUCCUGACGGUGACCUCUCGGGGAAGGAAAUCACGUAAGGAAGAAGAAGACCAAAAAGGGAAUUAAAAAAAAUAGAAAAGAAAGAAACAAUAAAAAAUAGAAAUAAAAAAUAAAAAAUUAGAAAAGGAAAUAAAAAAUUCGAAUAUAAUGAAAACUGGGUCGAGUUCUGUUCUGGAUCGGAGUAGAGGAGCUGAUGGGCUGGAGAAUAGGACAAAUGAAUGGGCUCAAUUUUAGUGUGACUGGGCUGAACUUGGAGUUGGGCUAAAUGAAUGAAAAAGGUUGGAAAACUUGGGCUUGAAUUGUUGAUGGCCCAUCAAAAGGGACCCAAAUUUAGACUGCCAAGGACUGGUCCGAAUUGCGAGUCUGAUUCGGACCGCUAGCGUCCGGAUCAGACCGGCUAAUCGGACCGGGUUCCUUGACUGGGUCCAAAGUUCUUUUCUUUUUUCGAAAUAGAAAUAAAAAUAAAAAUUCAGAAAAUCCAGAAAAAAAAUAAAAAAAUAAACUAAAC